GGUAGACUCUAGUUCUGCUGUAAAAUCCUCUGCUACAGCAGCCAAUGUCCUUCAUCUGUCUGCCUCAAAAUUGAACAAAAUCCGCUACAACAUUAAAGACUGCCCAGUGCAUUUAAACCAAGAACACUUUCCAGUUCUAAAAACAAUUGGAAUAAGAAUAGCAAAAAAUGGGAAGAAAGAGACAAAGGUGCGCUGGCAGCCUUGCUCUGGCUGUGGAGCAAAGUGGAAGGACACAUGGGAGCCUUAUGAACUUUUUCAUGCAGACUGAUUUGUAAAUGAAUAAAUAUAAGUGAUGUGUGUUAAUUUACAA